GCUUACGGCCAUACCACCCUGAACACGCCCGAACUCGUCUGAUAUUAGAAGCAAAGGAGGGUCGGGCCUGGUCAGUACUUGGACUGGACACCUCCUGGGAACACCAGGUGCUGUAAGCU
ensembl:rRNA 5S_rRNA 5S ribosomal RNA